rnacentral:tRNA from 1 species
GGAUAUUUAGUAUAAUGGUAUUACACUCAGUUCGCGACGAGAGAUGUGUUGGUUCGAAUCCCACAAUAUUUGCA